AGUGAACGCUGGCGGUAGACCUAACACAUGCAAGUCGAACGGCAGCACAGUAAGAGCUUGCUCUUACGGGUGGCGAGUGGCGGUCGGGUGAGGAAUACAUCGGAAUCUACUUUUUCGUGGGGGAUAACGUAGGGAAACUUACGCUAAUACCGCAUACGACCUACGGGUGAAAGCAGGGGAUCUUCGGACCUUGCGCGAUUGAAUGAGCCGAUGUCGGAUUAGCUAGUUGGCGGGGUAAAGGCCCACCAAGGCGACGAUCCGUAGCUGGUCUGAGAGGAUGAUCAGCCACACUGGAACUGAGACACGGUCCAGACUCCUACGGGAGGCAGCAGUGGGGAAUAUUGGACAAUGGGCGCAAGCCUGAUCCAGCCAUACCGCGUGGGUGAAGAAGGCCUUCGGGUUGUAAAGCCCUUUUGUUGGGAAAGAAAAGCAGCAGGUUAAUACCCCGCUGUUCUGACGGUACCCAAAGAAUAAGCACCGGCUAACUUCGUG
rnacentral:rRNA from 1 species